UCCCAUCGAGUCGAUUAUUGAUCAGCCUCAGAAAGCCAAAAUCUUUGACAAUCCUCUCCAUUUUCCUCAUUUUCCGCCAAAAUGCAGACCAACUUGCAAGUCCAGAGCUCGAUAGUGGAGCAGCUGCGCCGUGAAGCGAGCAUCAAGCGCACUCCUGUGUCUGAGGCCGUGGAGGACAUCAAGCAGUUUAUCCUCCAGCAUGAACAGGAAGAUUACCUCCUAAUUGGGUUCUCCUCCCAGAAGAACAACCCCUUCAGGGAAAAGUCCUCCUGCGACAUCCUCUAAAUCAAACGUGCAGUUGCAAAAAACUCUUUUUGCAGUGUGGUUGGUGUUACAGUUCUGGGGCCAAGCAUCUCAUCGAUCUCAGUAUUUUGCCUCAAAUGGAAGUUUAAGCCAAGUGCUACUUCUGAUUUUACUUAUACACAAAAUUGUACAACUGGGGAAAGCUUUACUUUCCCCACAAGUAGCUUUGUAUGUCAAUAAAAAUGUGAAAAAAUAUAGAAUUUAUUAUCUUUCACUCCAAUUAGAUACUAAUAUAGAUAAUUUAUAAUUCUUUAUUUUAAGUUCAGUGUUUUGUCCAAAACUUAAUCAGUACUUAAAUGAAAUGUGGUAGUUAUAAACAGUAAUUUUCUGAUUGUGUGUUACUAUAGGUAUCUAAUAAGUAAGUAAGGAUAAAAUUGUGACAAUAAACAUCCUGGUCAAAACUUUCUGAAACAGUCCUAACAAAGAAAAGGUUUAAAAAAACGACAAAUCAAAGAUUUUAUUUACUAAGAGCACCAUGGUAAAUAAUGAUACAGUAUGAAACAGUAGCCAAUUAUAAUAUCAUUGCACUGUACAUGAUACAAUGAAAUCUGUAAAAAAGUUAUAUAAAUAAAAUCAUUGCAAAUUUA